rnacentral:sRNA from 2 species
UAGAUGUGAUCGCCAAAUCCCCCUCGGGGGAGCGGGCGAACGAAGCAGACGGUGAGUCUCGCCUCGGCGAGUAGGGCAAGCCUUUCAGCCCGAACCGGCAGCUAAGCUCGCAGGCGUUAGAAAGGCCUCAA